UGGUUCUGGCCAAGAAGAUUUAAGUAGAAGUCUAAAAGGUGAAGCUUCUAGAAAAGCUAUUGUUUUCCUAAUGAAAAGGGACCCUUAGCUUGCAUUUCCUUUUGAUUUUUGUCCUUUCCUGUUAGUUCUUACUUCCUGGAAAUGAAACAUGUUGCCUAGAGGUGGAGCACCCGUUCAGUGAGCCUGUGACGAAGGCCAUAUACCAAGAACAGGAGAAAGCUAGAAGGAGCCCAUAUCUCUGACUGCCCUCGACUGCCCACACAAGAACUCACGCUGGAAAAAGAAAGCCCUGUUUCGGGCACCGAAGCGAAGUAACUGCGUGGUGACUGAUGCAAGACGCUGCUCAGACACGGCCUGCUUCCUCAAGGAAUAGCCCAUGCGGGGAGCGAGGAGAUUUUGUUACAUCUGCCCAAAUGAAAACGUUCAUCGUCACCCAAUUCUGGGCCUCUUCUGCCAGAUGUACUGAUCUGUCUCCCACAUUAUCCAUCUGCUUAGCUGAUGGCAGCCCACGCUCGCUCCAGAGCACAGAGCUCUGUGUCCUAAAUGAUUGGGAGCAGGCAUGGAGGUGAGCCAGUCCGUCAUCAAACACACUGCCACACUUGCAGUCCUGUGAUCAUCAGCCCUGGGGCUUGGCAGAUAGAAGGUUUGUAAGUCUAAGAACUUUUAGCAGCAACAACAACAAAAUGAGGAAAAAGUUGUAAAUAGAAAAUGGAGUUCUGAGUCUGAGCCCAGGCAGCCAGGAGCUGCAGCCUGGCAGAUUAGGUCCUAGGAGCAGCUGCCCCAGGGUUUGGAAGUCAGUCUCCCCUUCUAGAAAGAGAGUGUAAGAACAUACAUGUGGAAACUCUCCUUUUGCAAACUCAAAUUUGAAUUUUAAGUCACCAGGGUGUAAAGGUGAUGGUAUGCUUUUGUGAGAUUUCAGAACCUAGUGGGUCGUCGAAGAUGCUGAUUGAUCUUUCUUCUAAGUCCCAAAUGACCUGCUGGGAGUGUGUGGUGGUCAGUCUGAUGUGCACCAAUGUGGGCAGGCCUGUCCAGGAUGGGUUUGCUGUCAGGCUAGAAUGACCGCUCCAGCCCCAGCCUUUGCAUCCUACUCAGUCCUGUGCCAGGUGCUGGGAAUACAGAGGAAAGAAAAAGUUUGUCUUCCAGAAGCUCAGUUUGGAGGAGUGCUUUGCAAUCUUUUAUGCGCACUAGAAUCCCUGGGGAUCUUGUUCAAAUGCAGAAUCUGAUUCAUUAGGCCUAUUAGGUCUGAGAUGGUGAAUUUCAAACAAGCUCCCAGGUGAUGCUGAUGAUGCUGGUCCAUGGACCACAGUUUGAGUAGCCAAGGUUAGAGCAAUGGUUCUGAAAGGGUGGUCCCCAAGAAGCAGCUGCAGCCAAGAGCUCCAUAUUAGAAAUACAAAUUCUCAGGUGUCUCCCAAGACCUACAAAAUCAGAAUCUCUGGGAGUGUGGCCCACCAAUCUGUGCUUUAAUCACCCCUUUGAUGAUUCAGAUGUGCGAGCUUACCACCUGGUUACAGCAGUGAUUAGCUUCGUUGCACUAAAAAGGGAGGUGGCCUGAACUAGUAUCUGAGCUGGCUCUUAAGGACACAUAAGAGAGACUAGGCAGGCAGAGAAGGCUGUGCAAAGGCCCGAAGAGGAAGUUGGAGCAGCAGGUGCCUGGAGAGAGACAGCCCAGGAAAGAGGCUGAGAAUCACCCAGAAAACUCUUGAAGGCCACUGUUUGCAGGCCCAGAGCUUUGCUCAACCAUUGGCCCUUCGAGGUUGAGCCUCACAGUGAGUCCACCUCCCACCUCCCCACGCUCAGCUGUGGUUAAGCUGGUUCACCUUCCUGAAGAGAAAGGCUGCUGAUACUGAAAAUGAUUUCUUGUCUGAUAAAAUCGAGAUGGCGCCCAGAACUCACUUUUCACUCCAGGAGGGUCAAGGCUGUGGAGACCUAGCCUGUUUUUCCUGGAACCAGAAGGACUCCCACCCAGGUCCACUCAAGUUGUGACACUGCUUGGCUUACUAUGUUCGAUUUGUACUUGGCUGUAGUGACCUCGGGGCCAUCUGGGACGUCUGAAGGAAGUGAGCUUUCCUGAAGCUCUUUCUCCACACAUCCGAAGGAAGUGGAAAGUGAACAAUCUUUCUUUGAAGGGAUUUUGUCCUCACAGGGAUGCGACAAACCACUGCAGUUUUGUCUGAAGUUCAAGCUUUAUUCAUGAAGGACAUUGAUUUGACUGCCUUCUCAGUAAGGUUUUCAUAGUGACAUUUUCUCCAAGUUUGGAUGCAAAUAAAAAUGAUUUGA